rnacentral:rRNA from 1 species
AGCGUAGGAGACAAACGUUAUCCGGAGUUACUGGGCGUAAAGGGCGUGUAGGUGGUAGAGUAAGUCUGGCGUGAAAUUUUUCGGCUUAACCGGGAAAGGUCGUCGGAUACUGCUUAACUAGAGGACGGUAGAGGCGUGUGGAAUUCCGGGUGUAGUGGUGAAAUGCGUAGAGAUCCGGAGGAACACCAGUGGCGAAGGCGACACGCUGGGCCGUACCUGACACUGAUGCGCGACAGCAUGGGGAGCAAACAGG